rnacentral:sRNA from 1 species
ACAGUAAGCACCUCUGAAGCCUUGGAUUUCAAGUCUAUUCUGUUAGGCGACACNAGUCUGUUGCUAGGAUCUUCUCCUUUGAGACGACCAGCAGCCACUUUGCUAACAUUAGUAUGUGGUUCACAGAUCAAACACUAGUGACCCAUAAGGUCCCAACAACUUUACACCUCUUUCAGACGAGAGGUUGUUGUGGGCUAUCUGUGGGGUGAAAUAUGACCGGCCCCAUCUAGAGAUAGGUGGUGUUCACGCGUUCCGUAGGUGAACCUGCGGAAGGAUCAUUACAGAGUUAGGGUCUUUUCAGGCCCGAUCUCCAACCCCAUGUGUAUCUACUCCUGUUGCUUUGGCGGGCCCGCUGGGGAAACCCACCGGUGGCCUUUGGCUUUCGAGUGCCCGUCAGAGACCCAUCAAAACCCGUCAAUUGUGUCGUCUGAGUACCAACAAAAAUUAUUAAAACUUUCAACAACGGAUCUCUUGGUUCUGGCAUCGAUGAAGAACGCAGCGAAAUGCGAAAAGUAAUGUGAAUUGCAGAAUUCAGUGAAUCAUCGAAUCUUUGAACGCACAUUGCGCCUCUCGGUAUUCCGGGAGGCAUGCCUGUUCGAGCGUCAUUACACCACUCAAGCUUGGCUUGGUGUUGGGCUCUCGUCCCCCGUGGACGUGCCCGGAAAUCAGUGGCGGCGCAGCCCGGCUUCAAGCGGUAUCAGUUUAUCUUUGCUUUGGAAGCUUCGGGCCUGGGUCUGCCAGGCAACCCCAUCAUAUCAUCGAAGGUUGACCUCGGAUCAGGUAGGGAUACCCGCUGAACUUAAGCAUAUCAAUAAGCGGAGGAAAAGAAACCAACAGGGAUUGCCUCAGUAACGGCGAGUGAAGCGGCAACAGCUCAAAUUUGAAAUCUGGCUCUUCCAGGGUCCGAGUUGUAAUUUGCAGAGGAUGCUUCGGGUUCGGCUCCGAUCUAAGUUCCUUGGAACAGGACGUCAUAGAGGGUGAGAAUCCCGUAUGUGAUCGGUCGUCUCGCCCGUGUGAAGCUCCUUCGACGAGUCGAGUUGUUUGGGAAUGCAGCUCAAAAUGGGUGGUAAAUUUCAUCUAAAGCUAAAUAUUGGCCAGAGACCGAUAGCGCACAAGUAGAGUGAUCGAAAGAUGAAAAGCACUUUGGAAAGAGAGUCAAACAGUACGUGAAAUUGUUGAAAGGGAAGCGCUUGCAACCAGACUUGCCCGCGGGUGAUCAGCCGGUAUUCGUACCGGUGCACUCACCCGUGGUCAGGCCAGCAUCGGUUUGGGGGGCUGGAUAAAGUCCACCGGAAUGUAGCUCCUCUCGGGGAGUGUUAUAGCCGGAGGUGCCAUGCAGCCCGCCCGGACCGAGGACCGCGCU